AUGGCUUCUAGGCUCCCAGAUCAGCUCGCGGCCGUCCUCCUCCACCCCCACCCCCUCUCGCGAUUCAGCACUAGCUCAACGCUCGUGGAUCCUCGCCUCCUUCCCAGCCGGCCGCUCUCUGGUUCUGCGAACAGGCCGCCACGGUUCUUCGUUCUGCAGGAUCCAGUAAUGGAGGGUAGCAGUGCGAUGUCUCCGCUAGGAGAGCCCUCAAUUCCAAUGAUCGCAGCAUGUGCACCAGCACUAUCAUGUGUGAGAAUAGCGAUCGAACUGAUCAAGUGUCCAUGGAGGUUGUCAUCUCUCUCCCAGCAGGAGGCUCCAUUGCCAGGAAGCACUAACACGAGGCAAAAUGAUAGAUAUUUUCGUUCUUGUACCAGCAAGAUGCUUGUUGGGCGAUGA
rnacentral:rRNA from 1 species